AUUGAACGCUGGCGGCAGGCCUAACACAUGCAAGUCGAGCGGAUGAAGGGAGCUUGCUCCUGGAUUCAGCGGCGGACGGGUGAGUAAUGCCUAGGAAUCUGCCUGGUAGUGGGGGAUAACGUCCGGAAACGGGCGCUAAUACCGCAUACGUUCUGAGGGAGAAAGUGGGGGAUCUUCGGACCUCACGCUAUCAGAUGAGCCUAGGUCGGAUUAGCUAGUUGGUGGGGUAAAGGCCUACCAAGGCGACGAUCCGUAACUGGUCUGAGAGGAUGAUCAGUCACACUGGAACUGAGACACGGUCCAGACUCCUACGGGAGGCAGCAGUGGGGAAUAUUGGACAAUGGGCGAAAGCCUGAUCCAGCCAUGCCGCGUGUGUGAAGAAGGUCUUCGGAUUGUAAAGCACUUUAAGUUGGGAGGAAGGGCAGUAAGUUAAUACCCUGCUGUUUUGACGUUACCAACAGAAUAAGCACCGGCUAACUUCGUG
rnacentral:rRNA from 1 species